GUGCAAACAUUGGUUCCCAUACAAUCACUAAAGUUAAGCAACAUCAAGCCUGGUCAGUAUCUAGAUAGGUAACCACUUGGGAAAACCAGGUGCUGUAAG